GUUUAUGGUGGGCGCAUGGGCAGCUUAACGGCUGGCCGGUUCCUUUGUCCCGGUACUGUAGACCUGUGCGCCUACCUCCCUA
rnacentral:antisense_RNA from 1 species